CCACAACGAGGGGGUGAGGUUGGUUCCAGGCGCGACAUCUCAGGGGAGGUCCAUUCCAGAUGACGACAAGGCUUGGGGCGGCGCAGACACGGAGAUCCAUGGCAGCAACGAGAGCUCCCGACGAUGGGGAGAGAGGAGAGGCCGUGACCUGCGUAGCUCCAGCGCGACAGCGGAGCCGUCCUCUAGCGAGGCUCGAAGGGGCGCGGCUCACGGAUCCACUCGCAGGGCUUCAGAUCCAAACGGAUUUGGGGCUUGGUCCCACGGCAGGGUUCUCCAUCGAAGCCAUGACCAAACAUGGAGCUCCUGACCAGAGAAACAAGAUAGGAAGAGAUGAGCAUGAGGAGCAGAAGAAGAAACACAGUAGGAGAGGAGGGGAUUCGCAGGAACGAAGCAUUGCUUAGGCCCAGACUUCGGCGACGCGGCCUCCGGCGGGGCCUAGCGCGACGCUCCUGCUGCAGGGGUGUGGCUUCGCGAGGCGCAGGGGCCACCAGGGAGCUGGAGAAAGGAGGAGCUCGGGCAGUCGGCUAGGGCCAGUGGGGCUGCUCUGGUUGGUGCGGGUGCAAAACGAGGAGGACAACGGCUCAGGGAAUUUGGAUCGGGGCGAUCCCGAGAGAGAGAGGGGGUGGUGGCGCUAGGGAUGGAUGGAUGGGAGAGGGCUCCUAAAUU
rnacentral:lncRNA from 1 species